UGACAGCGCCCUGGGGGUGUAAAAGCAACGGGAUGUCCUUUCAUUUCCAUCUCCACGGCUGUUCUUCUGAGCAUCGCAGGUGAUGGAGAUGGGGAGAGGUGCUUUGGAGCUGUGGCUUUUCCUCCUCUCUGUUUUUCUCUUUUUCAAGACAGCCUGCGGCCCCUGCACAAGUUUCCUGUUGGUGCCGCACGUUGUGUCGCUGCAGCUCCUUGUGCACGGGAGAUAAAACGCCCACCGUCUAGCAACUCAUUAGCUCUCCUUCGGCAGCAUUAGUGGUUAACAGCAUAAUUAGUUUCAGCAGUAAAAGGAGAUUUUUGUGGACCCAGGAGAGAGAUUGUUAAUCUUCUGGCAUUCCAGGCAACAGCCAAAGUGGCAAAUUGCUUGUUAGAAGCAAGAGCAGAAAUAGUGCACACUGUUAAGCAACUUACAACUAAAACACUGACCUGAGCUGAGGGCAGGCGGCUUCUGCUCGAUAACAAAAUCUCUCCCCUCUGUUUGUGGUCUCUGGAUCUUGACAGCAGGUGGAGAAACAUCUGAAGGCCACAUCCACGCCAUCAGAGACCACCUGGAAGCCAUCUGAAGCAAUUUCUGGCGCUCGGCCACAACCCCCAGCCCAGCCCAGCCCUCCUGGUCUUGGUCAGCAGCUGGAGACGAGGGCCGGAUGCUCCAGGAAAAGCAACUUCUGCUGGUGGUGCUGCGGACGUUGCUGGAUUCACGACGUGUUGGUAGUCUCACGAGGAGCACCGGCUGCUUCGCAUUUCCAGACCAAGGAAGGUAGAGCUGAUUUCCUCCCCUCGUAGCAGCAGCGGAUGCGGAGAACAAUAGCUACGGUGCCUGCUCCAGCCACUCUGUGCUGCGGGGACCUAUCCUGCUUCCCUAGUGCUGAUCCCCAGGCCUCAGCUGGGGAUAAAGAGAGUUCAGGGAACCCAACCGAGGGAAAAAACACAACUCCAGAGAAGUGAUUUUGAAAAGAACUUCACAAAAGUUCAUGGCAAGCAGCAACAGAACGAAGAAAAAGGUCACGCAGCUGUUCCAGGAAAGGUCCUGGCUGUCUGAUGCAUGCCCGGAGCACCGAGCUCCAGCACAGCAUGGGAGAUGUGGACAUUUUCACCCAAAUUUGGGAGCCAGGAGGAGCUGCUACCACUCAUAUUUUUAUCAUAACGUG
rnacentral:lncRNA from 1 species